rnacentral:rRNA from 1 species
GAUGAGCGCUGGCGGCGUGCCUAAUACAUGCAAGUCGAGCGAACAGAUAAGGAGCUUGCUCCUUUGACGUUAGCGGCGGACGGGUGAGUAACACGUGGGUAACCUACCUAUAAGACUGGGAUAACUUCGGGAAACCGGAGCUAAUACCGGAUAACAUUUGGAACCGCAUGGUUCUAAAGUGAAAGAUGGUUUUGCUAUCACUUAUAGAUGGACCCGCGCCGUAUUAGCUAGUUGGUAAGGUAACGGCUUACCAAGGCGACGAUACGUAGCCGACCUGAGAGGGUGAUCGGCCACACUGGAACUGAGACACGGUCCAGACUCCUACGGGAGGCAGCAGUAGGGAAUCUUCCGCAAUGGGCGAAAGCCUGACGGAGCAACGCCGCGUGAGUGAUGAAGGGUUUCGGCUCGUAAAACUCUGUUAUUAGGGAAGAACAAACGUGUAAGUAACUGUGCACGUCUUGACGGUACCUAAUCAGAAAGCCACGGCUAACUACGUG